AUCCUGAGAGUGCUGACCGUGU
rnacentral:piRNA from 1 species